rnacentral:rRNA from 1 species
GCAACUCGACUGCGUGAAGGUGGAGUCGCUAGUAAUCGCGGAUCAGCAACGCCGCGGUGAAUGCGUUCCCGGGCCUUGUACACACCGCCCGUCAAGUCAUGAAAGUGGGCAGCACCCGAAGACGGUGGCCUAACCCUUGUGGGGGGAGCCGUCUAAGGUGAGGCUCGUGAUUGGGACUAAGUCGUAACAAGGUAUC